ACUCACCGAGGUUGACGACCUUGAGCGCCGUGAAGAAGCGGUUCUGCCGGGCCAGGUCCUGCCAGGGAGCCUUGGAGCAGUGGUACUUGAUGAAGGGGAAGCAGCCGGUGCGCAGGACGUGGUAGUUGGCGCCCUGCACCGGCCAGUUGAAGUGCGAGAGGCCGAACUGGUCGUUGCGGACGGCGCUGUAGGGCACGCAGAAGGAGGUCCAGUGCGGCAGGCGCCGCUGCAGCAGAUGCCGCGUCAGCACCUCCGAGGCGCUGGGCUUGGGGCGGGCGGCGGCGCGCGAGGCCCACGGCCUACACAGCAGCAGGCGGAGCGCGACCUCGUGGGCCCUCCUCAGGGCCUCCAUGGCCCGCCGCGCCGGGGACGCAGGCUGGUGUCCGCAGCCGCUGGCGCGCAAGCGCGCCCCCGGGCGAGCGCCGGGAAGGCCAACCGGCGCCGCGCGGGUGCCCGAGAGCCCCCGGUGUGCGGCGGCGCGUGCGCACAGCGGCCCCGUGGCCUCCCGCUGGGGGUGGAGUCCGGGGGAUGGGAAGCGUGAGCUGCGCGAGGCGGAGGGUCACCUGCGUCAAGGAGCUGGUUUUGAGUGGCCAGGUACGGAGUCUCACUCUGUUGCCCAGGCUGGAGUGCAGUGGUGCAAUCUCAGCUCACUGCAACCUCUGCCUCCCAGAGACGGGGUUUCACCAUGUUGGCCAGGCUGGUCUCAAACUCAUGACCUCGUGAUCCACCUGCCUCGGCCUCCCAAAGUGCUGGGAUUACAGGCGUG
rnacentral:lncRNA from 1 species